CCCAAAGAUCUUAAUACCCAUUUCUUACCAUAAUGAGGGAAUGAAAAUUCUGUCUACAAGAUAUAUACAGUAAUAAAUUAUAAAAUUAUCCAUAAUUAAGUGAAGCUUGGAUUGAUUAUGGAUGUCUAUUACCUUAAUAAACUCUGAUAACUGUCUUUUGUCUUUCUUGAGAAAUAUUCUCCAAUCUGGGAUGUGAACAGGAGCUAAAUCAGAAUUCUUUCCCACAGUGCCCAAAAAACUAUCAAGAACUCAUCUUUCUAUUCUAAUAGACUGACC
rnacentral:lncRNA from 1 species